rnacentral:rRNA from 1 species
UACGUAAGGGGCGAACGUUGUUCGGUGUCACUGGGCUUAAAGGGCGCGUAGGCGGCUUGUUAAGUCAGGUGUGAAAGCCCUCGGCUUACCCGAGGAAUUGCGCCUGAUACUGGCAGGCUUGAGGAUUGGAGGGGUGGGAGGAACUCCAGGUGUAGCGGUGAAAUGCGCAGAUAUCUGGGGGAAGGCCGGCGGCGAAGGCGUCCCACUGGUCAAUUCCUGACGCUGAGGCGCGAAAGCGUGGGGAG